AAUCACCUCAAAAUGACCCAACAUUCGCAAUUAAAAACGGCUCACUCCAAAAACGAAUUGUAAAUCCGGCGUACGGGGUCAAGAUCAAUGCACAAUCGCAGUGGAAAUUAUGCGUUCCGACACUGAAGAGAAGGUCGAUUAUCGAACAACACCUUAAUGAACCGACAACAACAGGCUACGUGACCACGGGAAAAAUCCUAAAAAGCAUUGCCGAAACAUAUUAUUGGCCCGGGAUGUACAAAGAUGUUAUUCAUCACAUGAAAAAGUACAAAGAACGCCUAAAAUCAUUGUCAUCAAACUCGCCGCAACCGUAUUCCACCGAACCGAAGCAAUAAGAUACCUACCGAUGACGUCAUCACCCAUCGCCAGAUGUGCCUAGCCGCGGUACUCAUGCGAUGCCGAACGAACCGAUUAUUCCAAACCUACCCUCAAUCAUCAACAUAAUGAAGAUUGAAGACAAAUAGCCAUAAAAAGUUUAAACAUUUUUAUAUUUAUGACCUAGUCAUUCCGUACCGUACCGUAUAAAUUUUAUUAUGUUUAAUUUGUAAUUUAAUUAUAAAUAUACAACUGAAAAACCGCAAUCUAUAUUAAAAAUAUAGAAAUAGGUAAAAAUGUAAACGCAAAUGCACACAUUUUACACCGUCCGUCCGUAGUAUAAUAUGAUAUAAGUAAAUAAUAGACACACAGACAUGUUAAACGUAUAACAUCCACCUUAUUGCAUCAAAGUCGCAAGUAAAAUUUUGCUCAGACUUAGAAUAAAGAUUGUAAAUUUUUGAACGCAGCCCAAUACGUUACUCUGUGAACGUACACAGGUUAGAAUUUUAGUUGUCAAGUCAAUGUCAAGUGUCAAACCGACCGAGUAAAUUUCAGCGCAAGGGCACAUGCCGUAUAAAUUUUAAUUUAUUUGAUAUGUAAACAAUUUAAAACCGUAAAGCUGAAACCGUAUACCUAAUGUAAUUAACAGGAAAAUGUAUAUCAGUACACAAUAAGUUAUAUACACAUAGCCUACAAUGUAAAAAUUCUUCUGCUGAGGGGGGAGAAUGUAACGAG